AGCAUCGCCAUAGCUGUCGUGUUUCUUAUCCCUCUUGUGGCUCAAAUGUAAUAGGACGGAUAAUGAUACUAGUGGCAUACAGAUAUGUACAUUAACUCUGGGUUUGUUUCGAUGCUUAUUCUGGUAUACUGUGGAAUCAUUAAAUUUCGUGGAGGCAAAUUUUCGUGGAUGGCUUAAAAUCUAUAGGCUCGAGGAGAUGUAAUUUCGUGUAUUCUCUUAUACCUAAAAAAGGAAAUAUGACUUUAAAUCCCUAAUUUAUUAAUUCGUGGAUGGUAGGUACCCACAAAAUCCACGAUAAUUGAGCCACCACGAAAUCUAGAUUUUCCACGACACAUUCAUGCACCCAGUCUUCUAUAAUUUGAUAUGUAACGACAAUUAAAUGUGGACUUUUUGUUACAAUCUAUGGUAAAUCAAAAUUACGUACAUGUCUUGUUUGAAAAAGUAAAACAAAUCGUGAAGCAUUAAUUUCUGAAUUGUCCGUGACAUUGAUAAUUAUUUCUUCAAAUUAAAGUGAAAUAAAUUAC
rnacentral:misc_RNA from 1 species